GUUUACCAAAAACAUGGCUUCUCGAAUUUAAUUUAUGUGAAGUCGUACCUGCCCAGUGAAGUUUUAACGGCCGCGGUACUCUGACCGUGCAAAGGUAGCAUAAUAAUUUGCCUUAUAAUUGAAGGCUGGAAUGAAUGGUUUGUCAAGGAUAAAACUGUCUCUAUAAAAUUCUAUAGAACUUUAUUUUUAGGUGAAAAAGCCUAAAUUUUAUUAAAAGACAAGAAGACCCUAUCGAGCUUUAAAAAACUUAAUAAAUAUUUAUAACUAAUUAGAAAUUUAAUUAUAAAAAAUUUUGGUUGGGGCAACCUAGGAGUAAGUAAAGCCUCCUUUUUUAAAAAAACUGUUUUGUAAGGACCCAAAAAUUUUGAUCAAAAGAAAUAGUUACCGUAGGGAUAACAGCAUUAUUUUUUUUAAGAGCUCUUAUCGAAAAAAAAGUUUGUGACCUCGAUGUUGGACCAGAAUAUCCUGAAGAUGUAGAAGUCUUCAAGGGUUGGUCUGUUCGACCAUUAAAAUUCUACGUGAUCUGAGUUCAGACCGG
rnacentral:rRNA from 1 species